AUGAUUGUAAGUUUCCUGGGGCCUCCCCAGCCAUGUAGAAGUGUGAGUCAAUGAAACCUCUUUUGUUUAUAAAUUACCCAGUCUCAGGUAGUAUCUUUAUAGCAGUGUGAAACAGACUAAUACAGCAAUUAUGUUCUUAUUGUGAAUGAUAUAAAAUAGUCACAAGUGAGGGCAGAAUUCUGUUCUCAGUAUUUGCGAAUCAUCUUGAGCAAUACAAUAACUCCAAGAACUUCUAACUCUAAAGCAUGAGCUGAAGGCAUUAAAAUCUUUUUUAGGAUGUGCUGCUAUAUUAAAAUGAGUCAGUUUCAAACUCUAGGUCCCUGUUUGUACUUUGACUCUAGGCAAAUAUACAGGAGCCUUGUGAAUACCAUCUAAUGUACCAAAAAUUCACUUUGAUACAGGUAAUUCUGGAGCCCUAACCAAGAUUUUCAUUUUUCUUUUACUUUUUUAGUUUUAACCAGAUAUAGCAAAAGGACUUCACUGUAAUUCUGUCUUAUAAUAUGGAUCCCAUGGAUGAGGUAGUACAAGUUUCUGUGUGCUGCACAUAUAUAUAUGUGUGCGUAUAUAUAUAUUUCCUGUGUUGCAUAUAUAUAUAUGUGUGUGUGUGCAUAUAUAUAUAUAUAUAUAUAUAUGUAUGCUACAGGGAAUUAU
rnacentral:lncRNA from 1 species